ACACUCCUUCCCAUUCCGAACAGGAAAGUUAAGGUCUAUAGCGCCGAUGGUACUGCAUGGGAAACUGUGUGGCAGAGUAGGACGUUGCGAGGU
rnacentral:rRNA from 1 species